UACGGGGGGUGCGAGCGUUGUCCGGAAUCAUUGGGCGUAAAGGGCGCGUAGGUGGCCCGGUCAGUUCGUGGUGAAAGCGCGGGGCUCAACUCCGCGUCGGCCAUGAAUACUGCUGGGCUUGAGCACUGUAGAGGCAGGCGGAAUUCCGGGUGUAGCGGUGGAAUGCGUAGAGAUCCGGAAGAACACCGGUGGCGAAGGCGGCCUGCUGGGCAGUAGCUGACACUGAGGCGCGACAGCGUGGGGAGCAAACAGG
rnacentral:rRNA from 1 species